GACGAACGCUGGCGGCGUGCUUAACACAUGCAAGUCGAACGUGAUUUUUGUGGAAAGCCCUUCGGGGACGGAAAUGAAAUGAAAGUGGCGAACGGGUGAGUAACACGUGAGCAACCUACCUUACACAGGGGGAUAGCCGUUGGAAACGACGAUUAAUACCGCAUGAGACCACAAAGCCACAUGGCUUAGGGGUAAAAGAUUUAUCGGUGUAAGAUGGGCUCGCGUCUGAUUAGCUAGUUGGAAGGGUAAAGGCCUACCAAGGCAACGAUCAGUAGCCGGUCUGAGAGGAUGAACGGCCACAUUGGAACUGAGACACGGUCCAAACUCCUACGGGAGGCAGCAGUGGGGAAUAUUGCACAAUGGGGGGAACCCUGAUGCAGCGACGCCGCGUGAGCGAAGAAGGUUUUCGAAUCGUAAAGCUCUGUCCUAUGAGAAGAUAAUGACGGUAUCAUAGGAGGAAGCCCCGGCUAAAUACGUGCCAGCAGCCGCGGUAAUACGUAUGGGGCGAGCGUUGUCCGGAAUUAUUGGGCGUAAAGGGUACGUAGGCGGCCUUUUAAGUCAGGUGUGAAAGCGUGAGGCUUAACCUCAUUAAGCACUUGAAACUGGAAGGCUUGAGUGAGGGAGAGGAAAGUGGAAUUCCUAGUGUAGCGGUGAAAUGCGUAGAUAUUAGGAGGAAUACCGGUGGCGAAGGCGACUUUCUGGACUUUUACUGACGCUCAGGUACGAAAGCGUGGGGAGCAAACAGG
rnacentral:rRNA from 1 species